rnacentral:tRNA from 1 species
GCCGGAGUGGUGGAAUGGGAUACACGUACGACUCAAAAUCGUAUGAGGUCACACUCAUGCGGGUUCGACUCCCGCCUCCGGCA